AGGAGCUCAAGUUCAGAAGGAGGGAAUUCUGCCAUGUCUACACCCUGGUGUUCCGCCUCAAUGGAAUGUUGGUCUCUGCCCUGGAGUGAGUGAGGCUGGCCAUCCCGAGGCUUGGGGAGAAAUAGGAAGAGCUGAUGCCACUGCUGAUCUCCAUGAAAAUAAGAAGCUUCGUCCUUCUGCCUGGGACAGGAUCUUGGAUGUUGUUGACAGGUGGAUAUUCUCCCAGAUGCAGCUCAGCACCAUAGACCAUCCCAGUCAGCCCCUGGCACCUCCUGGCACCUCCACAACCUGUGUCCACAGUGCCAGAAGUCUUGGAAGUUUCCAGGUGGGCAGGCAAUGCUACUGGGCACACCGGUGGGUGAGGCCUCCUCCAUGCAUCAUUUGUGGAAGUCCAGGACAGAAUCCAGAGAGGAUUGAGCGUGGGCAGUCAUUAGAAGGGAAAAUUCCCACCUAAGGGAGAGGGGCUGCAGCUCCUUGAGCCACCAACCACUUUGUGGGACAAGAGAAAACAUAGUCUUCCUGCCCAACCCCCACUUAGGCCUCCAUAUCCCCCUCCAUUUUUCUUUAAAAAACAAACAGGCAAAAGCCCCAUGCUCCCAGCCUGAAAUAGUGCUCUGGAGGAGCAGGCCUGGGACUGAGUGUUUUCUGCAUAAAUGAGUCUGGGUGGGGAGGAUGCAUGUAUAAACAUGGCCAGGGCGGUGCAGGAGUGCCCAAAGCCAGCUGGCAGCUACAGGCCCCUGCCCCUCAGCACCUGGUCUGUGGCCUGCAGGGCCCUGGCAGUCUCUGGAGUGUGGGCUGGUCUACUUUGUGGAUUCCCAGGUCUGGGGCUACUCACCUGCUGCCCCUACCCAGGAUGUGUGGCCAGGACCCUGCCCUGGAGGGGUUCAAAGUCAGGCAGAGAGAAGAGGACACAAAAUGGCAGCCAGCAAUUGGGGAGCUGCAGCUCAGGACCAGGCUGGCACAUCCUUCCAGCCUCACCCACCAAAGAUCCCCCUCAGAGGUUGGGAACGGGGCCCCAUGUUCACCCCAGACUCCACACAUUUUGGAGGAGACUGCAGGCUGGGAGCAGAGUGGGUCCGGGCACAGGACCCAGCAGGGAAUCCCUCCUCCCGUUCUGGAUCACAGGCUGGCCUGGCCCUGGAGGGCACAAGAGACAGCCAGCACCCUCCUGCUCAGCCCACGGGAUGUGGGGCCACCUGCUGUUAGGGAAAGCUCAUGCCCACCCUCGCUCCCAGACCCUUGGGAGGGGGCUGUCAAAAGCCAGAUGCAGAGAAGGCCACCCAAGAGAGGGACCAGGGCUCUGGCAAGGGCCAGGGGACCAGGCUGCCGGACGUUCUUGUUUACCUCCUAAGAAAAAGACAAAACCAAAAAACCGUGUGGGUGGAAUUUCAAGUUCUGGGGCUUUCUAGGUGGGCCCUGGCUCCCCGAGUCCUCUCUUCCUCCCUCUCCCCGGGCCUGCUCUCUCCCUCUUUGUUGCCAAGCUCAGACGUCGCUGCUGAAACCCAGCCCAGCGUCCGCGAAGCCCGGAAACUUCCAGCUCAGCGACUGUGCACAAAGUUGGGGUGACAGCAGCGCCGGGCUCGGCCGCCGUGGCGACCGCGGCCGCACUCCGCCCGGGCUGCGCGUCGGGACCCCGGACGGUUCGCGGGGUCGGACCUGAACUUGACCGCGAGCGCCCGCGCCGCGGGGCCUCCGGGACCACCUGAAAACCAUCUACCAAUCACCUCUGAAACCACGCUCAGCCUGCCCCUGGGAACACCUGGCGCAGUGUCCGUGAGCACAGAGCAUUUUACACACCAGCGUCUGAGCAUCUCAUUGUGUGUAUGGUUUACCUUCUGCUUGCUUUACUCACUGUCGAACACAGACCUGUGCCUUCCUCAGAUCUUGUUCCGCCAUUGACUUCCACACCUGCUGAUGUUCACUGGACGGUUUCCUUAACUAACUCUCAUCAGACUGCAGAUUCUUCCUGAGCAUUUUCAGUUUUCCCUGCUAGAAACAGCACUGGGAAGCACAUGUGUGCACAUUUCUGUUUCCUAAGGAAGUGAAACCAUGCUUCGGUGCUGGGGCUUCUGGGUAUGGGAGACCUUUUAGUUCCAGAAGUUUCUUAGAAUUUUCUGUGAAAUUCCACCUUGCUCAAGGGCUUCAGCUUUGACUCUCUGGCAGUACUGGUGCGGCAGCCCUGGCAACCAUAACCUGCCUCUUUACAGAUGAGGACCUGGGCUCCCCCAGCAGGGCGAUUCUGCUGCCCUUACUGUAAGGAGGACUCAUGAGUGGCUACUAUGCAGAAAAUGACCAUUUGUCCUGCCAGACCACGGACAGGACUUGAGAGUCCAUGAGUGGCAAGAUGGGCUGCCUGGACCACCAAGCCUGUCAGGCUGGAGUUGGGACAAGAUAGCCCUUGGCAUGGUGCCCCCUCAUGGACGGCCCUCAGGAAAGGACCAUGAGGAGGCUGAGGAUGUGGCAGAGGAGGAGCAGCAGCCCAGCUCUGGUGGGGUGAGAGCUCUGCGGAGGGCAUCUGCCCACCUGGAAAGGCCCCUCAGGACAGGGAUGAGCGUGUGACCCCACACAGACUCCAGACCCCACCCAGUGCCGCCCAUGUCCACGAGCCCUGGGAACCGAGGGGCUGUGCGGUGGGCUGCGUCAAGCACCAUUCUCCCCCUGCCGAGGCAUCUGCACGCUGGGAGGAGGGAAGCCCAUGGGUGUCCCGGGUGGCCACAGCAACCUGCUGGGGAUGUACUGGCUGCUUCUUUUCUUUUUAAAUAUGUCUCUGGGGAUGGACACCAGGGCCUUUUGCAUGCCGAGUGUGCACUGUACCACUGAGCUACACCUCCGGCUCCGAAUGCAUUUGUUUGUUGGUUAUUUAUUUUAGUUAGGGAGGUCAGAAGUCUGACAUGGGUCUCCCUGGGCUACAGUCAGGAGGUCAGUAGGGCAGGCUCCCUCCUGAGGUUCCAGGCGGGAUCCACUGCCCCAUGUUUUCUGGCUCCUGGUGCUGCCUGCUCUCCUUGGCUUUCAGCCCCCUCUUCCAUCCUCUAAGCCAGCAGCAGCAUUUCACUCUUUCUCUGACCAUAGCUGGGAAAGGUUCUCUGCUGUUCAGGAUCCAUGACGCGAUUAUGAGGUCACCCCCAGCAGGGUUAGGGAGACAGAGACCUCAGCCCUGCUCACAGGCCAGGCCCAGGGGCCUCAAACAGACACCUACCCUUCUUCCCCACCUGGGGUGGGAGUGCCCAGCCUGGAGGUCCCCAGCUUGAGGAUUGUCCCCUGAUCAGUGGCAGAAGGGAGGGAGGAGGGAACGCCCACUAGGCAGGACCUCUUCGUGCCUGGCGCUGCUGGCCUAGUGCCCUUCUCCUCCUCCCGGCCCCGCGGGAGGCAGGUUAGUUGCUCAUCUUGCAGAUGCCAGAGCUGAAGCUCUCAGGAGCAGCAGCUUGUUCACAGAGGAGACUGGCUUCUACAGAGAGCCUGGGAAACCUCGUGGUGGGCAGAGAAGUAGGUGUGGCUGGGACAGUCCCAUGAGCAGGAGGGCAGAGGUGCUGAGAUGCCAGUCGUCCCAGCAAGCCCUGUGCCAAGCCUUCUGCACUCACUGAUGGGCACCUGAGAAGUGCCUGCAAUCACGUCUCUGACUGUAAAGGGGAGAGACAGGCUCAGAAAGGUGGCGUGUUUUCCCAGAGACUCACAGCUCCCCGGAGCUCUUCUGCUCUGACUUCACACCUUGCCCUGCAUCCUUCCCGCAGGCGCACCGCGGGCAGCAGGUCUGUGGGUGGUCUUGGGGAGGCUGAUGGUCCCUUGUUGGAGCACUUAGCUGCCUCUCUGGAAUCUUUCUCUAGCAUGGAUUUUCACAUAGACAGGGGCCAGGGCAGUGCACAGUUAAAUGUGGUGGUUAAACGCUGCUGCCUGUGGAGCUGGGCCAUUCUGAGUUCAAAUCCUGAUGCCACCACUUUGGGGUGAUCUUUGGCAUGUUGCUGACCUCUCUGUACUUAGGUUUCCCAUCUGCAAGAUGGGGAUGAUAAUGUCACAAGACCCCAGUCGACCCCUGGGAGGCUCUUGCUGGCAAUAGAUCCUGCCCAGAGCCCUCCCUCCCAUGCAACCCUGCACACACUCAAGGGCAGAUGGAUGCCCCCCCUACCCCUGUAUGGCCACAAAGAUUCAGGCUGAUUUCUCAGCAAAUUGCUAACCACUUGCCCUAGGGCCUCAGCAGAAGCAGGGCUGGAUGUCCUGGAUCAAUCUGGACUUGUUCUGAGGCUAGGAGCUUCUUGCCAGAGGCCUGAUUGGAUCCCACUUCUGCCCAUCACCAGGACAAAGGAUCUAGGACCUGGAGCUAGCCAGGAGCUGCUCUUGCUCCCUGACACCAGGAGGCAAGGACAGUGAGCACUAGUAUCCUUCCUGCUUUUAUAGGUGGGUCAACUGAGCCCAGACCGCCUAGAUAACUUGCCUAAGGCUGCACCUGGAAGGGCAGGGCUGGACCUUGGUGGUGGCUAGACUCCAAGCCCAGGGCUGCAUGGGGUCACUUGCUGCCUCCAGGGGCAUAGCCUUUCCUGCUCUCGCUUAGGCAGUAGUCCUUGGUGCUUUCCAGACAGGUGGUAGCUCUUCCUGCUGCAUUGGAAGAAUAGGCCCAGGGCCGUCAGGACAGAAGGGCCUGUCCUGACCAGGGAGGACCCUUGGAGAAAGGGACUUGUGAGUGGGGGACCCCAAGCUACACCUGAGGCCAGCCCCAUUGCGGCUUGCUUGCAGAGAGGUGGAGGUGUGCAUGGCAGGAUGAGGCUGUGCAGCUGGAAACGUUGCGCUGCGGGGGCUUGGGGCGUAGCACAUAUUCUGGCCCGAGCACUGGUGCACUGCUCUGACUAAGAACUUGAGAGAAUUUUCCAAGAGCAGCGUUUGGAGAUGGGGUGGACUUUGAUAUGGGAGGGUGGGCCAGGGCAUGCACCCCAAGACUAGACCCUGUGGAGGGCAUGAUUGGUCGGCGUCCCUUCUGAGCUGUCCGUGCCAUGACUGCCGCCUCGGGUCUGGCAUGGGAGGAGUUAAGUUGCAGCGGGCACCUUGGCACGUUGGGCUGGCCAGAAUGUCCAGCUCCCCACCCCCACUGCUUUUCUUCCUUUUUGCCUUUUUCCUUCUUAAUUAAUCAUACGCUGCUGCCCAAUUUAAAUAUGGAAAUGCCCAGGCCAGCGAUGCGAUUAUUCAUGAGGCCAGGCAGGCUGUCCGGGGCGCUCGGGCUACGGGAGCCCGGCGGCACCCCCUCCUUUCUGAUGUGUGUGAAAUUAUGUGCACAAAAGGCGCCUCCUUAUCUGGGUGUGUGAACUAAAUAAAUAAAUAAGGGCUUUUGUUUGUUUGCCGG